rnacentral:tRNA from 1 species
AAGGAAGGAUAGGAAUCAAUAAGUGCUGCUAAUACUUAUGCCCCGAGGUUGAAAUCCUCGGCUUCUUUG